rnacentral:rRNA from 1 species
GUAGGGAAUCUUAGACAAUGGGGGCAACCCUGAUCUAGCCAUGCCGCGUGUGUGAUGAAGGCCCUAGGGUCGUAAAGCACUUUCGCCAGAGAUGAUAAUGACAGUAUCUGGUAAAGAAACCCCGGCUAACUCCGUGCCAGCAGCCGCGGUAAUACGGAGGGGGUUAGCGUUGUUCGGAAUUACUGGGCGUAAUGCGCACGUAGGCGGAUUAGUAAGUUAGAGGUGAAAUCCCAGGGCUCAACCCUGGACUGCCUUUAAUACUGCUAGUCUUGAGUUCGAGAGAGGUAAGUGGAAUUCCGAGUGUAGAGGUGAAAUUCGUAGAUAUUCGGAGGACACCCAGUGGCGAAGGCGGCUUACUGGCUCGAUACUGACGCUGAGGUGCGAAAGUGUGGGGAGCAAACAGGAUUAGAUACC